rnacentral:lncRNA from 1 species
CCAGACUAUUAUGCAGAAAUUGAUCAAGGCUGAUUUGGAAACUGGAGCGUCAACUUUCUCAGUUUUCAUCGUAAAGAGCAGAAAACCUCUUAGUAAUGAACAUUUCCACAAGGGGCUUUUGUUUUCAGAUUGAUUUGCUCAUUGGACAAAGUAUCCUAGGGAAAUGUGCCCCUGCGAAGUUGGUGGUGAUUGUGGUGGUGGAGCUAAUGACAUGUGUGCAGAAACUCUUCUGAAUGGGACUUCCCUGAUCCUGUUUUUACCUGAUCUUCAUGCUCAAUAGAAAAAGCCUCAGCUUUGGAAUCAGCUUCCCAGUGAACACCGAGAGUUGAGUUUAGCAACUGUUUGGACUGGCCAUGUAACAGGGCCGUCCAGGUAGCAUGGCAUGGUACUGGAACACUAUGUCUUCUCUCUGACCUCUCGGAAUAUCUCUGUGAUUCAAUGUGUUGGCCCAUUGGAGGCCCUGGGCACUUUCUGGGCAUGCAGAGCCAGAGAAAAAGAUGAGAACUUAAUGAAGGUCAUGCAGCUAAGAAGUGAAAGAUCCAAGAUUUGAACCCAAGCUGUUUGAUUCCAGAGCCUAUGCUUUUAACCAUUCCUCUAAAAAUAAUGAUAAUGAAG